GUCGACCCCUAAGGCGAGGCCGAAAGGCGUAGUCGAUGGGAAACGGGUUAAUAUUCCCGUACUUGGUGUUACUGCGAAGGGGGGACGGAGAAGGCUAUGUUGGCCGGGCGACGGUUGUCCCGGUUUAAGCGUGUAGGUGUGUGUUCCAGGUAAAUCCGGUUCACUUUAACACUGAGGCGUGACGACGAGGCACUACGGUGCUGAAGCAACAAAUGCCCUGCUUCCAGGAAAAGCCUCUAAGCAUCAGGUAACAUCAAAUCGUACCCCAAACCGACACAGGUGGUCAGGUAGAGAAUACCAAGGCGCUUGAGAGAACUCGGGUGAAGGAACUAGGCAAAAUGGUGCCGUAACUUCGGGAGAAGGCACGCUGACACGUAGGUGAAGUGAUUUACUCAUGGAGCUGAAGUCAGUCGAAGAUACCAGCUGGCUGCAACUGUUUAUUAAAAACACAGCACUGUGCAAACACGAAAGUGGACGUAUACGGUGUGACGCCUGCCCGGUGCCGGAAGGUUAAUUGAUGGGGUCAGCGCAAGCGAAGCUCCUGAUCGAAGCCCCGGUAAACGGCGGCCGUAACUAUAACGGUCCUAAGGUAGCGAAAUUCCUUGUCGGGUAAGUUCCGACCUGCACGAAUGGCGUAAUGAUGGCCAGGCUGUCUCCACCCGAGACUCAGUGAAAUUGAACUCGCUGUGAAGAUGCAGUGUACCCGCGGCAAGACGGAAAGACCCCGUGAACCUUUACUAUAGCUUGACACUGAACAUUGAGCCUUGAUGUGUAGGAUAGGUGGGAGGCUUUGAAGCGUGGACGCCAGUCUGCGUGGAGCCAACCUUGAAAUACCACCCUUUAAUGUUUGAUGUUCUAACGUGGACCCGUAAUCCGGGUUGCGGACAGUGUCUGGUGGGUAGUUUGACUGGGGCGGUCUCCUCCUAAAGAGUAACGGAGGAGCACGAAGGUUGGCUAAUCCUGGUCGGACAUCAGGAGGUUAGUGCAAUGGCAUAAGCCAGCUUGACUGCGAGCGUGACGGCGCGAGCAGGUGCGAAAGCAGGUCAUAGUGAUCCGGUGGUUCUGAAUGGAAGGGCCAUCGCUCAACGGAUAAAAGGUACUCCGGGGAUAACAGGCUGAUACCGCCCAAGAGUUCAUAUCGACGGCGGUGUUUGGCACCUCGAUGUCGGCUCAUCACAUCCUGGGGCUGAAGUAGGUCCCAAGGGUAUGGCUGUUCGCCAUUUAAAGUGGUACGCGAGCUGGGUUUAGAACGUCGUGAGACAGUUCGGUCCCUAUCUGCCGUGGGCGCUGGAGAACUGAGGGGGGCUGCUCCUAGUACGAGAGGACCGGAGUGGACGCAUCACUGGUGUUCGGGUUGUCAUGCCAAUGGCACUGCCCGGUAGCUAAAUGCGGAAGAGAUAAGUGCUGAAAGCAUCUAAGCACGAAACUUGCCCCGA
rnacentral:rRNA from 1 species